rnacentral:misc_RNA from 1 species
GAUGAAGAACGUAGCGAAAUGCGAUAAGUAAUGUGAAUUGCAGAAUUCAGUGAAUCAUCGAGUCUUUGAACGCACAUUGCGCCCCCUGGUAUUCCGGGGGGCAUGCCUGUCCGAGCGUCAUUGCCGCCCUCAAGCACGGCUUGUGUGUUGGGCCCCCGCCCCCCGGCUUCGGGGGGCGGGCCCGAAAGGCAGCGGCGGCACCGCGUCCGGUCCUCGAGCGUAUGGGGCUUCGUCACCCGCUCUGUAGGCCCGGCCGGCGCCCGCCGGCGACCCCAAUCAAUCUUUCCAGGUUGACCUCGGAUCAGGUAGGGAUACCCGCUGAACUUAAGCAUAUCAAUAAGAGGAGGA